AAGGACUAUGUUAUAAACUGGAUCCUCAGUCAGUGUUUGUGUUCUGCUGCAGUGCAGUUUCUUUUCCUUUGACAGUUUUUGGCUGAUAAUGGAAAUGUUACAGUAUGGAGUUCUGCUGAUGAUUAUGUCAGCUGUUAGUGGUCAGUCUUUGACCUCCUCAGAUUCUGUUGUGAAAAAGCCUGGAGAAUCAGUGACUCUGUCCUGCACUGUGUCUGGAUUCUCAAUGAGCAGCUACGGGAUGGGCUGGAUCCGUCAGAAACCAGGGAAAGCACUGGAGUGGAUUGGAUAUAUAGACGGUGGCACUGGCACUACUUUUGCUCAGUCUCUACAGGGACAGUUUUCCAUCACCAAAGACACCAGCAAAAACAUGCUGCAUUUAGAGGUGAAAAGCCUGAAGACUGAAGACACAGCUGUUUAUUACUGUGCACGACAGUCACAGUCACACAAAAGACUGCAGGGUUGA